GACGAACGCUGGCGGCGCGCCUAACACAUGCAAGUCGAGCGAGAACCAGGGCUUCGGCCCUGGGGACAGCGGCGAACGGGUGAGUAACACGUGGAUAACCUGCCCUCGGCACCGGAAUAGCCCGAGGAAACUCGGAUUAAUGCCGGAUAGCCCCACAUCCCUGCGGGGAACGUGGGAAAAGGUAGCUUCGGCCUCUGGCCGAGGAUGGGUCCGCGGUGGAUUAGCUUGUUGGCGGGGUAACGGCCCACCAAGGCGACGAUCCAUAGCUGGUCUGAGAGGAUGAUCAGCCACACUGGGACUGAGACACGGCCCAGACUCCUACGGGAGGCAGCAGUGGGGAAUCUUGCGCAAUGGGCGAAAGCCUGACGCAGCGACGCCGCGUGCGGGAAGAAGGCCUUCGGGUUGUAAACCGCUUUCAGGAGGGACGAAGCCACUCGGGUGAAUAGCCCAGAGGGUGACGGUACCUCCAGAAGAAGCCCCGGCUAACUACGUGCCAGCAGCCGCCGUAAGAC
rnacentral:rRNA from 1 species